GAGGGUAUAACUCAGUGGUAGAGCACAUGCUUAGCAUGCACAAGGUCUGGGUUCAAUCCCCAGCACCGCCA
rnacentral:tRNA from 1 species